rnacentral:rRNA from 1 species
GGCCGCGGUAUUAUAACCGUGCGAAGGUAGCGUAAUCACUUGUCUUUUAAAUAAAGACCUGUAUGAAUGGCAAAACGAGAAUUCAACUGUCUCUUAAUUCUAAUCAAUGAAACUGAUAUUCCCGUGCAGAAGCGGGAAUAUAAAUAUAAGACGAGAAGACCCUAUGGAGCUUUAAACAUAAACUACCUAUUUAUAUUAAAUUAAUCAAAAGACUAAAUAUAAAAUUACUAGCACUAGCUUAAGUUUUUGGUUGGGGCGACCACGGAACAUAAAAUAACUUCCGAGAUGAAUAACAUUAGAAUUACAAUUCAAAAAACAAAAAAAUUUAACAUAAUUGACCCAAUUUUUGAUCAACGAACCAAGUUACCCUAGGGAUAACAGCGCAAUCCUUUCUAAGAGUUCUUAUCGACGAAUGGGUUUACGACCUCGAUGUUGGAUCAGGACACCCAAAUGGUGCAGCAGCUAUUAAA